UCUUCCGCAAUGGCCGAAAGUCUGACGGAGCAACGCCGCGUGAGUGAUGAAGGCUCUCGGAUCGUAAAGCUCUGUUGUUAGGGAAGAACAAGUACCGUUCGAAUAGGGCGGUACCUUGACGGUACCUAACCAGAAAGCCACGGCGCACUACGUGCCAGCAGCCGCGGUAAUACGUAGGUGGCAAGCGCUGUCCGGAAUUAUUGGGCGUGAAGCGCGCGCAGGCGGUUUCUUAAGUCUGAUGUGAAAGCCCCCGGCUCAACCGGGGAGGGUCAUUGGAAACUGGGGAACUUGAGUGCAGAAGAGGAGAGUGGAAUUCCACGUGUAGCGGUGAAAUGCGUAGAGAUGUGGAGGAACACCAGUGGCGAAGGCGACUCUCUGGUCUGUAACUGACGCUGAGGCGCGAAAGCGUGGGGAGCGAACAG
rnacentral:rRNA from 1 species